rnacentral:pre_miRNA from 1 species
AGUGGGAUAACUGGGUCAUAUAUUGGUUCCAUUCAAGUUUUUUGAGAAAUCUCCAUGUUGCUUUCCAUAGUGGUUGCACUAAUUUGCAGUCCCACCAGCAAU